ACCGAGUCCGUCGGAGGUCAGUUUAACAGAACCAGACGUCGGUCGGGCAAUGGUUAAACUAAUUAUUGAAGUCGGUUAAUCAUUGAAUCGGUUAAAACCGUCCAAUUAACCAACCGGCAAAAAAAAAUUGCCCCCAAUAAUCCCAACCCAAACGACUUCAUCAGUUAUCACCAUCCUAACUAUGUCAAACUCAAAGGCUGAAAUUGCGAAACACCUAAAAUCUGAAAUCUCCUUUCCACUAAUUUCCCCCCUUUCUUCUCACAUUUAGGUCAAAGUGAACAAUUGAUUCGGCGAGGGCGAGGGCGGAGCUAGAUCUAUCUCGGCGACUUGGUGCUCGGCGAUGGCUCGGACGGCGCUGGAAAUCAACGAUGUGAGAGAGGAGAGGAGAUAGGAGGUUUGGCAUGACGGCGACAUAUAAUAGUGGAUUGAAUACAGCCGAUCGAGGAAUCGAAGAGGAGGAUACCACCAUACGAGGCUCCGACGCCGGAUUCGAAAGGAGGCUGCAACGGAGAUCGCCGAUUUAACGAAGGAGAGCAGUGGCGACGGAUUCUAUUCAGGUCUCCGUUUCGAGGACCCAGGUGGAGUUGGCUCGCUAGAUUACGAGGACCCAGGUGGAGUUGGCUCGCCGGAUUUCGAGGACCUAGGUGGGAGUUGGAGGCCUACAGAAGACGGAAGACGUGGUGGCGCCGGCCUGGAAUCAGGGUCGGCCGGCGUAUGGAACCAACACAGAGAAGAAGAAGAGUCUCUGGUGAUAUUAUUAUUAGGGAUUAUGGUCAAAAUGGCUCUUAUAUAAGUUAACAAUUGAGUUCUCUUAUUAUUAUUUUUUUUAAUCAAAUUCUUAUAUUUUUUCAAGUAAUUAAGUAAGCCUUUUUU
rnacentral:lncRNA from 1 species